rnacentral:tRNA from 1 species
GGGCCGCUAGCUCAAUGGUAGAGCAGGGGCCUUUUAAGCCCUUGGUUAGAGGUUCGAGUCCUCUGUGGCUCA